rnacentral:lncRNA from 1 species
UUUGAAUUAGUUAACCCUAAGAUUUGGAUUAGUUAACCGUACGGAUAUAAGUGUAUAUUUAUCUCUUUAAUAAAACAUUUUGGUCAUUUUGAUUCUUAGAGUCUAUAUUUGUGACAUAAACUUGCUAUCCUAAGGUAUUUCCCUUUAAAAAAAUUAACUUCUUUUUUAAAACUUGAUCUCACACAACAUAGAAUAUAUUUUCAAUGUAAU